CCCCUAGAUGUUCUGGGCGGCCCGCGCACUACAAUGGCGCUUUCAGCGAGUUCCUAUGUUGAAUUUUCCUGGGUAUUCUUGGAAGCGGCGUCUUGACUUGGGAUAGAUCCUUGUAAUUGUUGGUUUUGAACGAGGAAUUCCUUGUAAUCGCGGUUGAUCAGCUCGCGUUGAAUACGUCCCUGCCCUUUGUACACACCGCCCGUCGCUCCUACCGAUGAAUCGUCCGGUGAAGUUCACAGAGUGGCGGUUCGUGGAGUUGCUCGCGAAGUGAAAUGGACCUCACGAUUUAGAGGAAGGAGAAGUCGUAACA
rnacentral:rRNA from 1 species